GGCUCGAUGGCGGAUGGUCCGCGUCUGCUUUCACUUGACGUGCGGUUUGUUCAUAAUUAAAGCAGGUCCCCCGGUUCGAUUCCGGGUCGAGUCU